GACGAACGCUGGCGGCGUGCCUAAUACAUGCAAGUCGAGCGAACGGCCGUGGAGCUUGCUUUUCUUCUGUUAUCGGCGGACGGGUGUGUAACACGUGGAUUACAUACCUACAAGACUGGGAUACCUUCGUGAAACAGGAGCUAUUAUCGGAUAUUCUUUUUAAUCUCAUGGUUCAAAAGUGAAAGACGGUCUUGCUGUCACUUAUAGAUGCACUGGCGCUGCAUUAGCUAGUUGGUAAGGUAACGGCUUACCAAGGCAACGAUGCAUAGCAGACCUGAGAGGGUGAUCGGCAACACGGGAACUGAGCCACGGCCCAGACUCCUACGGGAGGCAGCAGUAGGGAAUCUUCCGCAAUGGACGAAAGCCUGACGGAGCAACGCCGCGUGAGUGAUGAAGGCCUUCGGAUCGUAAAACUCUGUUAUUAGGGAAGAACAUAUGUGUAAGUAACGGUGCACAGCUUGACGGUACCUAAUCAGAAAGCCACGGCUAACUACGUG
rnacentral:rRNA from 1 species